CUCUCAGCCAAGACGCAUUAACUUCCCCGGGGCUCUGGCUGGAAAAGGGGGCCUAAAGCACCGGCUCGACCUCCCAGGAGUGUUUCUGCCCGUACUGGCAAAGCGACGUAGUUUGCUCCCCUGCACCGAGCGAGGUACCAGCCAGGAACUCUGUUUCUCCUCUGGAAAAUGGUGGUUCUCGUGAGCUGCAGACCUUUGCCAAGGGUGGAACGACGUGUCUCCCCCCAGUCCUGCGCACCGCUGUGUCCCAGCUGCAUCGCACCUGGACUGGGGAUCUACUUCUCUUUCCUUCCAUGCUCUCUUGGCGGCUCAUCAGAUACAGUGUCUUUGAAGAGGGGGAGCAGCCUCUGCCGCGAAGCGUCGGUGUCGGCGUCGCCUUGCCGCCGCAGGACCACCCCGCCCGGCUCUUUGUGCGUCUUCCAACAACCAACCGGGGCGUAAAGAGGCCGAAUCCGCCGCGGAGAGCUCGCAGGCACGGGGAAGUUGUUCUUUAAAGCUCUGGAGAAAUGCAGUGCAUUUAUCAGCUUUGAGUGGAUAUCAUUGUGUUUAUAACAGAGUGGAGGCACCAUGCAAUUUUGCUCUUGAAAUUGGUUUAUAUAGAUGACUGGUUGCUGUGAAGUGUGUGUCAGAGUUGCAUGCAGCCGUUAUGAAGUAGUACAAUUGUCAUCGCUUCUUACAUGGUUGUUGAGAAGAGCUUGAGAGCCCAGCUCAGUCAGCUGUUGAAUAGAUAACCCAACACAGUUAACGUGGCAUACAUUGUAAAGAAUUACAUGCCUGCUACAAUGAGCUCUGGGCCUUUGGUCUAGAUAAUAAUCCUGGUGGGUGUACCACGUGUAGUGGCUGUCUGAUCGCUCAGAUAUGACUGACGAAACAUAAAGAAAAAUGUCAGUCGGCUAAAAGAAAAAUGCUGCUGUAAGUUUGUUUAAGGUUCAUGUAAACGGCUGUGCUUUUUUAUUUAACCCCGAGUCUCCCGAAGACUUGGCUGUCAAGCUAAAUGCGGAUCUAUAUGUAAGCUGCGGGUGAAACUCCAUUUUAGAGCAUGUUGAGAUUUGUCAGCUGCGAUAAAGGCUUUGGCCAUCUCUUCCCAUCGUGGUGGCCUUGUCUUCUCAUUUCACAGCAAGCAAAGCCUUUAUGUCAGUUUACAUUUGCGAUGCGUGAGCCUAACACCACUAAAAAGGAUGAGUGUUCACGACUUUUUAAGUGCCGUGGCAUAAUUCAUUUCAGUGAAUUGAAGUAAGCCAGAAUAAUCAAGCUGGCAAUAUGGACUGGACUGGAGGAGCAGGAAUUAAUACUGCUAGCAAAUUAAAAAAAAAAUAUAUAUAUAUAAGGAUCUGCUGUGUGGAAGCUGGACGGCUGCUUGCCACUCAAAAGGGGCUCAGACAUUGGAAAGGUGAAUGGGCACGAGAAGCACGUCUGUGCCUUGAGGCACGGCCGAGCCCGGGGAGUCGGGGGAGGUCAAGGCCGAGGCUGACGUUGCUCUGGACUGCUGCAACGGCACCUGUAGUCACAGCACCUCACGCGAGGUUGCUCCGCGCUGGCCUCUGGCCACUUUCACCCGUUCUGCUGCUCCUGGGCUUUGCGAUAGGGCAUCCGUGAGCCGGAAGGGCUGGACGCGGACUGUGUGAAUGAGAGGGCCGAAGGGG